rnacentral:rRNA from 1 species
UACGAAGGGGGCUAGCGUUGCUCGGAAUCACUGGGCGUAAAGCGCACGUAGGCGGAUUGCUAAGUCAGGGGUGAAAUCCUGGAGCUCAAUUCCAGAACUGCCUUUGAUACUGGCGAUCUCGAGUCCGGGAGAGGUGAGUGGAACUGCGAGUGUAGAGGUGAAAUUCGUAGAUAUUCGCAAGAACACCAGUGGCGAAGGCGGCUCACUGGCCCGGUACUGACGCUGAGGCACGAAAGCGUGGGGAGCAAACAGG